rnacentral:SRP_RNA from 2 species
GCCGGGCAUGGUGGCGCACGCCUGUAGUCCCAGCUACUUGGGAGGCUGAGACAGAAGAAUUGCUUGAACCCAGCAGGCCCAGGUUGCAGUGAGCCGAUAUCGCACCACUGUACUCCAGCCUGGGUGACAGAGCGAGACUCUGUCUCAA